rnacentral:rRNA from 1 species
GACGAACGCUGGCGGCGUGCCUAAUACAUGCAAGUCGAACGCAGUGGGGACGGGUGAGUAACACGUGGGUAACCUCCCAUCAGAGGGGAUAACACUUGGAAACAGGUGCUAAACCGAUACUGAUGGAUGGACCCGCGGUGAAUUAGCUAGUUGGUGAGGUAACGGCUCACCAAGGCCACGAUGAAUAGCCGGACUGAGAGGGUGAUAAGCCACACUGGGACGGAGAAACGGCCCAGACUCCUACGGGAGGCAGAAGUAGGGAAUCUGCGGCAAUGGACGAAAGUCUGACCGAGCAACGACGCGUGAGUGAAGAAGGUUUUCGGAUCGUAAAACUCUGUUGUUAGAGAAGCGGUAUCUAAAGAGAAAGCCACGGCUAACUACGUGCCAGCAGCCGCGGUAAUUC